CAACAACAAAUGUAAGGCAUCAUUUUCUGUGUCUCUUAUAUUGCUACAAACAAUGAAGAUGGAACAGAUUUAACACAUUUUCACAGUUUUGAAAGAGCAAGAGAGUAACAGUCUUUGGCUCUGAAUUGCAUGAAUCUCAUGUUGGCCGGACAUUUUCUCUACAAUUAUGAAUUGGCAUAGAAGAGAAGCUCAUGAAGCUGAUUUAAGAAGUUACAGGUGACUUUGUGGAUAAUAUCAAAAUAGAAAUUUAUAAGAUGAA